UGCAAGUCGAACGAGAAAGUGGAGCAAUCCAUGAGUACAGUGGCGUACGGGUGAGUAACACGUGGGUGAUCUACCUUUUAGUGAGGAAUAACCGAGGGAAACUUCGGCUAAUACCGCAUAAGCCCGAGAGGGGAAAGUCGAAAGACGCUGAAAGAGGAGCCCGCGGCCGAUUAGCUAGUUGGUGAGGUAAGAGCCCACCAAGGCAGAGAUCGGUAGCCGGCCUGAGAGGGCACACGGCCACACUGGCACUGAAACACGGGCCAGACUCCUACGGGAGGCAGCAGUGGGGAAUCUUGCACAAUGGGGGAAACCCUGAUGCAGCGACGCCGCGUGAGCGAUGAAGCCCUUCGGGGUGUAAAGCUCUUUCGUCAGGGAAGAUAGUGACGGUACCUGGAGAAGCAGCUGCGGCUAACUACGUGCCAGCAGCCGCGGUAAUACGUAGGCAGCAAGCGUUGUUCGGAGUUACUGGGCGUAAAGGGUGUGUAGGCGGUUCCUUAAGUUUGCUGUGAGAUCUCCCGGCUUAACCGGGAGGGUGCGGUGAAUACUGAGGGACUAGAGUACGGGAGAGGAAAGUGGAAUUCCUGGUGUAGCGGUGAAAUGCGUAGAUAUCAGGAGGAACACCGGUGGUGUAGACGGCUUUCUGGACCGACACUGACGCUGAGACACGAAAGCGUGGGUAGCAAACAGGAUUAGAUACCCUGGUAGUCCACGCCCUAAACGAUGCAUAUUUGGUGUGGGCAGUUCAUUCUGUCCGUGCCGGAGCUAACGCGUUAAAUAUGCCGCCUGGGGAGUACAGUCGCAAG
rnacentral:rRNA from 1 species